AUUGAACGCUGGCGGCAGGCUUAACACAUGCAAGUCGAGCGGGGAAGGGUAGCUUGCUACCUAACCUAGCGGCGGACGGGUGAGUAAUGCUUAGGAAUCUGCCUAUUAGUGGGGGACAACGUUUCGAAAGGAACGCUAAUACCGCAUACGCCCUACGGGGGAAAGCAGGGGAUCUUCGGACCUUGCGCUAAUAGAUGAGCCUAAGUCAGAUUAGCUAGUUGGUGGGGUAAAGGCCUACCAAGGCGACGAUCUGUAGCGGGUCUGAGAGGAUGAUCCGCCACACUGGGACUGAGACACGGCCCAGACUCCUACGGGAGGCAGCAGUGGGGAAUAUUGGACAAUGGGGGGAACCCUGAUCCAGCCAUGCCGCGUGUGUGAAGAAGGCCUUUUGGUUGUAAAGCACUUUAAGCGAGGAGGAGGCUCUUCUAGUUAAUACCUAGGAUGAGUGGACGUUACUCGCAGAAUAAGCACCGGCUAACUCUGUGCCAGCCGCCGCAGUAAAAC
rnacentral:rRNA from 1 species